GCGUGCUAGAUGGGGAGCUGGCGGUGCCCUGUAACCCGUAAUCCGCCUUAACGGGAUUGAAUUCCUGCCUGAGGCAUCGAUUGUGCGAGGUCUGGUCUAUUCGAUCUGUGUUGAAGAUUGGGUCCUACGCAACGAGAGCUUUUGAACCGUGUCAGGUCCUGACGGAAGCAGCACUAAGGAAGAAUCCUCGUGUGCCGUAGGAGUGCCUGGUCUGAGCAGAUAGGAUAGUGCCCGCUCGGGCUUCCGGUGUCGAAGGCUGGUGCACGC
rnacentral:SRP_RNA from 1 species